GUGACAGGCCGUGAGGUUGUAUAAGCUUUCUAGGCCAACUUAACAGCUGACAUACCUUUUUUUGUAUCAUCCUGGACUCUCAAAACACAGCUUUUUUUUUUUUUUUUUAGGAGCUAAAGUGGGUUUCCUUUAGUUACAGCUCCAUUCCUUCUCCAGAAGAGCUCCAAGUUCCAUGAAUGAAGCAAAAGACUUGUGAAAAUGUCACUACAGUGUGCUGUACAUGCUGCAUGGAAUGGAGUGAAGGGAAUUGUUCAGUCAGCCAUAGUCAGAUAUUUCUCAGGUUCUGAAGUCCCAUAAAAACUUUGAAGGCCGUUUCUGUGUAUCCUGGCAUUGGCAGCUGAAGUGCCAUGUUCAACAGCAAUGCUCCUUCCUUCGCAGAAGGAACCGCAGCAGUUUUGAGUGCAGAAGACCACCUUCCUCUUGAAGUGAGACAUCUCCAUGGACACGUCAUUGUGACAGUGAAGGUGCUCCAAAGAGACACUGGGACUCUGCUUCUCCCAGCCACUGUCAAAAGCUGUGUGCAGAUCUGAAAGUGCAACAGGGACCAAUGGGAAUCCAAUGUGGACAAAAAGGUACCCUGGUUAAAUUAAAGUGAGUUUCAUAAACUGAUUUUAGAAACUGUUUUUCUUUUAAAACAUAUCUUUCAAACAAGAUCACAGUUUUGAAUUUGCAGUAAUGACAUCACGAAAGAUAGAAUGGCGGCCAAUAUUUCUGAUAGGGAAAAAAUAUAUAUAUAAAUGGUAAAUUUAUACUACCCUGCCAGAAGAAGGCUUCUCAAGUGCAGAGUUCGGAUUAACAGUAACUGACAGAAAAAAUGACUUUUUAACGCACAGAUUUUAAGAUCACCUUAUGGGAAAAGAUGAUACUAAAACCCAUGGAAAUCAUGCAGAGAUUACUUUUGAAACUUUCAUGUAUUCCCAGUAAGUCCUCUCUAGAUUCCAUUUACCCUUUUUCUACUGAGCUUCCUAUCUGUCUAUCCCCCAGUAGAAAGAAAUCUUCUAGACAUUUACUGGCACAACUUUCUAAUUAGGUUUAUUGAUAAUUAAUCUGGAUAAAUCCAUGUGCAAAAACAUCUCAUUAUCAUUCUUUUAAAGCAUGAUAUAGCGUGUUUGUUUAUAGAUCUUUUUCCAUUUCAUGUUUUCUGCUCUGUGCAUGCUAUGGUGAGAUUGUGGGUAUAGCUUCGUUAAAUUUUCAAGUCAGUCUGUGCUUUAAAGAAAUUAGUGCUUGAUAUAUAUGGCUGCAUUGAUGCUGACGUUUGCCAUUUGUACAUAAAGAUGUUAUGACUGUAAGAAAUAUUUUGACACAAAUAUUUUCGUUUACAAUGGCACAAUUUUCAUCAUUUCUGUGUCUUUUUUUUUUUUUCCUAGUUACUUUCUGAUUCUUGUCCAAGCACACUGCUCAGUGGCAGGAGGAAUAACAUAUAGCUUGCAGACCAUCAUCUGCGUUCUCUUUGCAUUAGGUGUAACACUGGCAUGAAAAUCAGAGCCCUUGCUCCAGUUUUUCCAGCUGUCUCUGUCUCCCUGUGAUCUUUU
ensembl:lncRNA